GUAUUUGGUCCGCUUUACAUUGCACAGUUGAACUGCAUUUUUUGAGAUGCCAUAGAGAGAAACGCCCCCCAAAACCUUCUGGUGGUGUGCUGCAGUUUCUCGUCGAUUCCAUGGACUUGGGCUGAUUGGCACAGCGAGGUCAGCUGAGACAGACGAACACGAUGAGGCAAGAUCUGUGGAAGACACAGUUGUGUGAAGUCUGAAGGGAAUAGAACUUGACUGCUUUAUGGAGCUGGCUGGGCAACACUUGUGAGUCUCAAGUCUUCACCGAUCUUGACUUGGCUGAGGCCCAGCCUAGAACUUUUCCUGCUGGUCCUUCUGGUCCCUCCUGCUGACUCGUGCUAAGGCUGAGGCCUGGCUGUCUCUGCUAUGUCAUGUCACUGAUGUUACUAACCUGACUACUGAACUGGACUGCCGGUGCAUCUGUGAGGUAUUAGCAAGAGGCUCACACUCCACUGCCGACUUGUGAACCGAUCUGCUGAUUUCCAGAUAGCACAGAUGGGGAUUUGUCGCGCGCCCAAUGUCCCGCCAGCAAGAACGACGAGCGGCAACAGGAUUCUUCUGCGAGCAAGCCUUUACUGUGUUACAGCUCUUCUCAGUGUUACAGCUCUUCUCAGUGUUACAGCUCUUCUCAGUGUUACAGCUCUUCUGAACAGGGACUCCGAGCAGCAAAAUCGCUCGGCUUAUAUAGACAACAGUAUGCUAAUUAUCUCUCAGGGAUUGGUGGGGCUUGGAUCACCCCACUACUUGUCCUCCAGGGAUUGGCGGAGAAUGAAUCACCUCAUUAGCAUAUUAACAGUCAACUAACACCUGGUGCAUAAACCGCACAUGUGCAGUACCGCUGUUCACCACUAGAGGGAGCCAUAGCAAGGGGAUAAGCCUGCACAUGCGCAUCCCUAGCCUGGACCAGGCUGCACAGAAUGAAGGCCUUGGAGAGUUACGAGGAGCUUGCCAUCCUCCUUGAAGGCAUCCACCCAUACAGAGGAGCCCUGGCCCAACUUCCUUGGACAGCAGCGUGUUAAGUGGCAAAGUCAGGAAAUGACUGUGUCCUUCUGAAAGUACCUGUUGGUCUUGCCUCUAGAACUGGGGAGCUCUGUUCCACUUGGUUAUUUGUGAGGGGCGGGUAUUUUAAAUGCGAUGUCAAGAGAAGAAUGUAAUUGUUCCCUCUGGGUUGUCCUUGCCUGUUUGUAGUGAUUCAGUAUGGAAGAUUGGAUAUGCUCUGUUGACCACACACCAGGAAGACACAGGCUUUUGUGCUGAUUCUCCAGGCUGUAGGGAGGUUUGCUUUUCUCCAUCACAUAGUGCAAACUUCUCUGGGUUGCAUGGCUGCCCCAACCACACCUGUACUGGAGGCUUUAUAUUCCAAUGGGUGCCUGUGACUUCAUGGCUAUCCAAAGGCCUGGGAUAUCCAUUCUAGGAGGAUCACUUGUCAGGAGGGAAAUUACUUCCUUGAUAAUCUACACUUGUAUUUUUUGGUAUUUGCCCCGGACACCCCAGUGUGGCGAAUGCUGAGAUUACAUCAGGGUCUAUGGGUGGCUGCAAAGGCAGAUGCCCCUGGAUGCUGGCAUCUAGAAGGCAAAGGUGAACAGAUGCCAGACAAGUACUACAGGGAAGGCAAUGACGUGUACCUGGUCAGGAGACAAGAACCCUGCAGGGAACCAAGGAGGAUCCUACGAGAACUUCGAUUUGAUCUUGAAAGACCCCCCCCCAUGAGUCUUAACUCAGAGCUGCAACAGGCUUGAAGGAGCCCAAGCACGCCCAGAUACCUAGGGCCGAGUCACCACCAUUAAAACUAACAGACCAUAAAAGGAAAGGAAUGCAGAACAGACCAGGAGUACCGGAUCUGACUCACAGGCCACCUGGCAGGAAGAGAUAAGCCCCCAGGCCCCGACAUUCAGGACGCCCCAGCCUGCACGUACUCUCUUACCACGUUGCAACCUCAUUUGAAUAUGAUUCAAACCUGCCAAUGUGUGUAGCUAUACCUUAUUACCUCAUCAUGUGAAAUAGCCAAUCAUAUGUGAACAUGUCUAUGUGCCUCGUUUGAAUCCACCAAUCCCCAUAACUAUGCAUCUGUUUCUGUACGCCCGCUUUUGCUUCCCCAAGCCCUAUAAAAGCCCCAUGCUGGAGCUGCUGGGCACGCAAGUCCUCCGAAGAGACUGUGUGCUCGCAGGUACCUGUGUUUUCCAAUAAACCCUCUUGCUGAUUGCA